GGGGUGGUGAUGGGGAUAGUGGUGCUGGUGACUUAUAGUAAUAUGGUGGUGGAGGUGAUGUUGAUGGGGGUGGUGGCGACUUGUAGUAAUAUGGACGAGGAGGAGAAGGCGAUGGUGGUGGGGGAGAUUUGUAAUAGUAAGGAGGUGGGGGCGAUGGUGACGGGGGUGGUGGUGAUUUAUAGUAGUAUACAUGUGCAGGUUUCGGUGAUGGUGGAUGUGGAGACUUGUAAUAAUAGGGCGGGGG
rnacentral:lncRNA from 1 species